rnacentral:rRNA from 1 species
AGUGAACGCUGGCGGUAGGCCUAACACAUGCAAGUCGAACGGCAGCACAGGAGAGCUUGCUCCCUGGGUGGCGAGUGGCGGACGGGUGAGGGAAUACAUCGGAAUCUACUCUGUCGUGGGGGAUAACGUAGGGAAACUUACGCUAAUACCGCAUACGACCUACGGGUGAAAGUGGGGACCGCAAGGCCUCACGCGAUUGAAUGAGCCGAUGUCGGAUUAGCUAGUUGGCGGGGUAAAGGCCCACCAAGGCGACGAUCCGUAGCUGGUCUGAGAGGAUGAUCAGCCACACUGGAACUGAGACACGGUCCAGACUCCUACGGGAGGCAGCAGUGGGAAUAUGGACAAUGGGCGCAAGCCUGAUCCAGCCAUACCGCGUGAGUGAAGAAGGCCCUCGGGUUGUAAAGCUCUUUUGUGGUAAAGAAAUCCUGUUGGCUAAUACCCGGCGGGAUGACGGUACCCAAAGAAGUAAGCACCGGCUAACUUCGUGCCAGCAGCCGCGGUAA